AUUGAACGCUGGCGGCAUGCUUUACACAUGCAAGUCGAACGGCAGCGCGGGCUUCGGCCUGGCGGCGAGUGGCGAACGGGUGAGUAAUACAUCGGAACGUUCCCAGUAGUGGGGGAUAGCUCGGCGAAAGCCGGAUUAAUACCGCAUACGACCUGAGGGUGAAAGCGGGGGAUCUUCGGACCUCGCGCUAUUGGAGCGGCCGAUGGCAGAUUAGCUAGUUGGUGGGGUAAAGGCCUACCAAGGCGACGAUCUGUAGCUGGUCUGAGAGGACGACCAGCCACACUGGGACUGAGACACGGCCCAGACUCCUACGGGAGGCAGCAGUGGGGAAUUUUGGACAAUGGGCGAAAGCCUGAUCCAGCAAUGCCGCGUGUGUGAUGAAGGCCUUCGGGUUGUAAAGCACUUUUGGCGGGAACGAAAAGGACUGUGCAAAUACCACGGUUCGAUGACGGUACCCGCAGAAUAAGCACCGGCUAACUACGUG
rnacentral:rRNA from 1 species